CUUCUUUUCUUCCACAAGGCCCUACCCUCUCCCUCUCAUUUUUGAACUGAACCCUUCUUUUCCCCUUCGUUUGAACUCAAGGUGGUGGUGCUGGGUUGUGAGGUGUGCUAGCUGGUGUUGGGGUUCCCCUCUCCUUCCUCCUGCAUUCAAGCUCCCUAGUUUACUCUUCUCUUCCGCUCAAGCUUUCCGGAGCUCAGAAUUUUCACCCGAGAGCAGGGAUAGAAGGUGGAUAGCGAUGAGUCGGCAGCUGAUAGAUGGAGCUGACAUCUAUGGAUGUUUUGUUUGUUUUAGUCACUAGGCAUAGUGACUUCUGAUGUAAUUCUUGUUUUAUAUACCCUAAUUCUAGUCGGAUUCGGGACAUAUGUAUAUACUUAUAUUCUAGACUCUAUAUUUAUAUACUUGUUUUCUA